ACUUGGCUGGCUCAGCUGGUAGAGCAUGUGACUGUUGAUCUUGAGGUCAUGAAUCUGAGCCUCAUGUUGGGUG
rnacentral:tRNA from 1 species